rnacentral:rRNA from 1 species
AAUCAACGCUGGCGGCGUGCCUCAGACAUGCAAGUCGAACGCGAAAGGCUCCUUCGGGAGCCCGGUAGAGUGGCGCACGGGUGAGUAACACGUGGGUAAUUUACCUUCGGGUGGGGAAUAACAGCCGGAAACGGCUGCUAAUACCGCAUAAUGCAGCGGCACCACAUGGUGACAGUUGUUAAAGUGGGGGAUCGCAAGACCUCACGCCUGAAGAGAAGCCCGCGGCGGAUUAGCAGUUGGCGGGGUAAUGGCCCACCAAGGCGUCGAUCCGUAGCCGGCCUGAGAGGGCGGUCGGCCACACUGACACUGAAUAACGGGUCAGACUCCUACGGGAGGCAGCAGUCGGGAAUUUUGGGCAAUGGGCGCAAGCCUGACCCAGCAACG